rnacentral:tRNA from 1 species
UGGGGCGUAGCCAAGCGGUAAGGCAACGGGUUUUGGUCCCGCGAUUCGGAGGUUCGAAUCCUUCCGUCCCAG